rnacentral:misc_RNA from 1 species
GGAAGUAAAAAUCGUAACAAGGUUUCCGUAGGUGAACCUGCGGAAGGAUCAUUAAUGAGUUGUCAUGGGGUUCGAUGCUGGCAGCCAGUUUUUGGAUGCAUGUGCUUGCCCUAACAAUCAUCUUCUUCCAAACACCUGUGCACAUUUUUGAGGGAGUCUUGAGUUGGUUGCCGCUCUUGGGUGAUUUUCUCACAUUCCCUUAAAUCAUUAUACGCUAUUAACAAUGUUGAACGUGCUCUGUGCCGCAAGGCCAUUAAUAUAAUACAACUUUUAACAACGGAUCUCCUGGCUCUC